ACUCCUACGGGAGGCAGCAGUGGGGAAUUUUGGACAAUGGGGGCAACCCUGAUCCAGCAAUGCCGCGUGAGUGAAGAAGGCCUUCGGGUUGUAAAGCUCUUUUGUCAGGGAAGAAACGGUAGUAGCGAAUAACUAUUACUAAUGACGGUACCUGAAGAAUAAGCACCGGCUAACUACGUGCCAGCAGCCGCGGUAAUACGUAGGGUGCAAGCGUUAAUCGGAAUUACUGGGCGUAAAGCGUGCGCAGGCGGUUGUGUAAGUCAGAUGUGAAAUCCCCGGGCUCAACCUGGGAAUUGCAUUUGAGACUGCACGGCUAGAGUGUGUCAGAGGGGGGUAGAAUUCCACGUGUAGCAGUGAAAUGCGUAGAUAUGUGGAGGAAUACCGAUGGCGAAGGCAGCCCCCUGGGAUAACACUGACGCUCAUGCACGAAAGCGUGGGGAGCAAACAGGAUUAGAAACCCUUGUAGUCCCAUGA
rnacentral:rRNA from 1 species